UUUUCUCCGUGAACUUCAGAUGUACAAUGUAAUAUUUCAAACUUAGGUGAAAACCGAUUUCUCUGCCUCCAGCUUUGGUUGCAGUCCGAGUCUGAGGAAAAGUCGUCAUCUUCUUGAAGAAAGCGUCCAUAGUGGAAGCCGGUCAGGCCCUGAGUCCUUUCACCGUCAACUCUGACGGCUGCGUUUGGCCUGCUCAGAAAGAACGAGAGUUGAAAAGACGCAAGAAUUGCCAGUUCUGGGAAGAAGAGGUGUUUUCACAACAAAACAGACAAAGAAUCAUAAAGACUUGAAGAAACGAUACUUCCCAAAUUCCUUCCAGUUCAGAGACCCACCAAAGUCUGGUGGAUCAUCUCCACCAGUCUACCUGAUCUGAGGUUUCUUGGGGCCUUCACUAGAAGCUUCUUCUACUGAUGCCACUUCAGUCUUCAGUCUUGUCCAUAUGACCUAGUUAUUUUAAGCUCGAGUAUGACUUAGGUUUCAUUGCUGGGCUACUUCACCAUCUACUGAAAUUAUUUCCAGUAAAUUUGUUUUACAAUGUUUGCUGUGAGUAGCGUUAUGUGCUUAAGGGAAGGUCUUUACAAAAAUGUCUCCAAUCAAUACCUUUCAAUGUAUUUAAACAUGAAUAAAUAAUUUUAUCCAAAGAAUAUUAUUUCCA
rnacentral:lncRNA from 1 species